rnacentral:misc_RNA from 1 species
GAUUUUAUUGUGCAAAAUUUCAAAUUUCAAGGGGUUUCUUAUUACAUUUUUAAGUCUAGGGAUAACUCUGUUAUAGCCCCUAAAGUUCAGGGAUGACUAUUGAAAUUUAUCCAAGGGUUUAGCUUACAAGGACUCAAGAAGCUUUAUGUUUUUGAUGUAGCUCAUAGUAAAAGAUUUAUUACGUUUUUUUGAUUGGUGGCUUCUUGGUAAAAAGAAUAUUGUGUUUUGAUAUUACCGAAAUGGUGUUUAGGGCACAUAUAUAACCACUCCCAUUUAGAUAACAGUCACUAUUUCUAAUAAUAAAUGAGACAUCUGAUUGGAAUUUACUUAAUACGUUUUAUAAAUUACUUUAAAGAAGAAAUUGUGAAUAUGAUGGAUUUGUUUUUUGAAAUUUUAGAAUCUCAAUAUUCUAAAAUUUAAGUGCAUGCAUGUGACAACAGCUACAAGCUGAGACUGAAUAAACACUGAGAUCUAGCAUUUUCUUGUUAUCCUAGAUAACUAAAUAGGUAGAUAGUGUUUAACAGUGAAGCAGCAUAUGAUUAUUUUUUUUCUCUAAGUUUUAGACUGCUUAUGUCUGUCCAAAUCUUCAUCCCAGCUGGUUUACAGUUACAAUUCCAAUGUGGGAUGCUCCUGAAAUGUGAUUCUUCUCAAGUUCGUUUAUGCUUUCACAACUUCAUAGGAACUCUAUUUUUCAAAAGCCUUGUUAAUGGCUCAUGUAUUCAUAUAACAUGAUUCCUGCAAUACUUCCUCUUUUUAUAAUGAUGCAUUAUUGAAUACAGAAAUUGGUUUCUUAAGGGAUUUAAUUGACUUUUCAGCUCAUUGAAAGGAAAAGAAAAA